AGUGCAAGAAAGACAGUUAAGACUGAGUGUCGACUCCAAGGACUCCAAGAACUGCCGCAUAAACGAAGCAAUAAAAGGAGCGUAGGUGGAGUGAGAAGCGGGGGUCAUGGAGGGGGAGUGCAAAAAUCAAAAUGAAAGGAAUAAGAUCAUUUAUUAAAAAGCAGGUCCCCAUCCGAUGACAUCUGUGAUCCACACAUACUGUUUCUGCCCCAGUUCUGCACUAGGACCCAGCCUGGGUUGCAGGUUGUUCAGUCUAUGGGCUCCGGCCACAUCCAAGACUCAGCAUUUCAGAAGACAUCUUCGGGAACUGGGAGCUAUGGAAGAGGAAGUUAGCAGCUACUGCACCGCAGGUGAGCAGGGCAAACUGCUCUGCACUUCCUCAGAGAUCAUCUAUAAUGGAUGCUAAGACAGCCAAGGUUGCCAGGAAUUGAUUGGCCUCUCCAUAUAAGCUUUCAGAAAUAGCAGGUAUCUGUCCAUCGAUUCUGAAAUACAUUACUGCUGAAGCACCUUCAACAUCUGUGUCAUCAGAGUCAGAGGCCGAAGCUCUUGGAGGCAACCUCUCUUUGGAGACAGAAAAUGCUGAAAGGGGGAGUUUGCUCAUAUUUAGUGACCUUGGCCUUCCAAACAGUUACAGACUGGGAGGGUUUUGUUGUAAGAAUCACCACAGUGCCCUCUGUACUUUGUCUGAGGAGAAAACACCAACCAGAUGCCCUUGGACCAGGACAGAGAAUAGCAAGUGAAAGUUUAUCAAAGCACACUGCUUAUCUGGUGUCGUCCUGUUCCAGGUUCCUGUGACUGGGAAACAGCCAGGGAGAUGACGAUGGUGAGCCUACUGCUAUUUGGACAAUUCACUAGAAAGUCACUCGAAGACUAAUGUACCCAGGAGCUACUAUUUAGCUUCAACAACAGCUGUCAGUUCUCCAUCAACCUCAUUCCCAUUUCAAUUAGCUAUUCACCUCCAAAUUUCUAUCUAUCUAUCUAUCUAUCUAUCUAUCUAUCGAUCUAUCGAUCUAUCAUCUAUCUCAAGGUUAAUAAGUAAAAUAAACGAGAACUAAUUAUAAUACUAACUCUCAUUUUCUUUUAUAAUAAUCGAUACAAAGAACAUAUUCUACCUGUAUUCCAAUUUCCCUGUCAGUAGAAUGUGAGUACAUUUUCAGCUCAGAGAAGACCAGGUCACAGCAUUUGAGCUCAGCUUCCUGGAGCUGCUACAGAACCCAAGGGGUUGUUGUUGUUGUUGUUGUUGUAGUAGAGAGGGCUUACAGCCAGGCCACCUAGAAUCCCCACACUAGUAUGGCUGAUAAUUCAUACAGAGAGACAGGGGGCAUCCCUUCCACUAGACUGUUGGUCUGCCACUUCAGCUGUCCAACAACAAGCCAAAACCCUCUUCAACCGUUCAAAGUAUUUAAAUUGUGCUCCGAUUUCCCUGGGUGAGACAUUCCCUGAUGAGCUACCACAGCAGAGACAAGCCCCAACAAAGGUCAUGUGGCUCUAAUCUGAGGUUCCAGGCGCUUCCUGCUGUAGCAUGGACUCAGGCCCACUCAACUUAGUAUGACCAAAAGGGAAGGCUCCUCGCCAGCUCCACAGAACCCAUGAACAGGGCAACCUGGCAGAGAGAAUCAGGAACCACAGGCAACUUCAAGGAACACUCUUUGUUCCCCGUUUUUGGAUUACUUUCGGAGACCCCAAAUUAGUGACUCUCAUUUUGGAGUUCCAACCUUGCUGUUAACUCCUGCCUUCCGUCUGUCCUGACUCCUGUCCAGACUCCUGCUGUCUGUCUGUCCUGACAACUUUGCACUAACAUGGACCUCUGACAGGCUUCCUUUCUGAGGCAGUAGUUGCGGCUAUUCAUAAGAAGGCACUUGGCAAGCCGCUGCCGUCCUCUGAAUGGAUCCUCACUGCAAGCCUGGCAGCCAUUCAUCCAACCAACCCGUGUUUACAAGUUUCACUAUGUGUGUGGCAAUCCAUGACAAACUGUGGGAAAACAGAAUAAAACAAAACAAAACAGACCACUUCCUCCCUUCUUGAAGCUUCCACACUAGGGGCAAUGAACCUCAGAAAAUGGCCAUUAUUAUCCCAAUAAAAUACAUGGGGAAACAG
rnacentral:lncRNA from 1 species